AUACGGAGGGUGCAAGCGUUACUCGGAAUUACUGGGCGUAAAGGACGCGUAGGCGGUUUAGAAAGUCAGAUGUGAAAGCCUAUGGCUUAACCAUAGAACUGCAUCUGAAACUCCUAGACUAGAGUGAGGGAGAGGUCAGUGGAAUUAGUGGUGUAGGGGUAAAAUCCGUAGAGAUCACUAGGAAUACUCAUAGCGAAGGCGACUGACGGGAACUUUACUGACGCUGAGGCGUGAAAGCGUGGGGAGCAAACAGGAUUAGAAACCCUAGUAGUCC
rnacentral:rRNA from 1 species